UACAGAGGUCUCAAGCGUUGUUCGGAUUCAUUGGGCGUAAAGGGUGUGUAGGUGGCGCUGUAAGUCGGGUGUGAAAUUUCGGAGCUUAACUCCGAAACUGCAUUCGAUACUGCGGUGCUUGAGGACUGGAGAGGAGACUGGAAUUCAUGGUGUAGCAGUGAAAUGCGUAGAUAUCGUAAGGAAGACCAGUGGCGAAGGCGGGUCGUCUGGACAGUUCCUGACGCUGAGGCACGAAGGUCAGGGGAGCAAACGGGG
rnacentral:rRNA from 1 species